UGCCGCAUAGCUCAGCGGUAGAGCAGCUGACUGUUAAUCAGCGGGUCCUAGGUUCGAAUCCUAGUGCGGCAGCCA
rnacentral:tRNA from 1 species